rnacentral:lncRNA from 1 species
AAUGAGAAGCACCUGCACAAGGUCCGGAGGAAAGAAAAGCAGCCGAGGCCAUUUUCUCGUUCUCCAGGUAGCAGUCGGUGGAUGCGUGGGUUUCGGCAGACGUGGCCAGCAGCCUCUGGCGUCUUCCUGUGAGUCCUCUGCCUCAGGUUGCACCGUAUAAUCCAGCCCAGUGGUUUUCAAAGCAUCGCCAGCAUCACCUGGGAACUUGCGACAAUGAACAUUCUUGGACCCGCUCCAGACCUCCACAUCCAGAAACGCUGGAGGACACACCUCAUUCUACUUGGAACGUUGCCCCCUGACACGUGGUCACGUCCCCAUCACUCAUUCACCCACGUCUUUGACAUGACUUCUUCCAAGAAAACGACAUUGCUUUUCCAAGCUUGAGAUGACAUUCUCUGAGCUCAUCUCCACUUGGACCGGCUGCAUUUCCAGUGUUCGUCAGUCCUCCGUGGGCAGCGGCUGCUGCGUGAGCCCAGCUCCAGUGUCUGUAGACCAGCGGUUAACACAUACACGCUUCACCGCACAACUUUCCAUAGCCAUUGACAUGCUGGCGUGCACCGUGCACGCUUAGGCAACACCAUUUGGCACUACCCCACGUGACACUCUUAGGAAAAACUUCUUUACGCCAUUGGGUUUUGAAGACACGGGUGAUAAAUGACUUAGAGCCCCGGAUUUUACUCCCACCUCUGCCACUUACCAGGGAGUCAGUAUCACACCGGACACUUAACCUUCUUAAAUUUGUCCCCUCAU